rnacentral:rRNA from 1 species
UACGGGGGGGGUAAGCGUUGUUCGGAAUUACUGGGCGUAAAGGGCUCGUAGGCGGCCAACUAAGUCAUACGUGAAAUCCCUCAGCUUAACUGGGGAACUGCGUGUGAUACUGGCGGACUUGAGGACAGGAGAGGAACGCGGAAUUCCUGGUGUAGCGGUGAAAUGCGCAGAUAUCAGGAGGAACACCGGUGGCGAAGGCGGGUCUCUGGGCCGAUACUGACGCUGAGGAGCGAAAGCGUGGGGAGCGAACAGG